rnacentral:rRNA from 1 species
CUUGCUCUUUCCGGAAUUGAGUGGCAAACGGGUGAGUAACACGUAAACAACCUGCCCUGCAGUGGGGGACAACAGUUGGAAACGACUGCUAAUACCGCAUGAUGUAUCUGGAAGGCAUCUUCCGGAUACCAAAGAUUUAUCGCUGUGGGAUGGGCUCAUGUCUGAUUAGCUAGUUGGUGAGGUAACGGCCCACCAAGGCGACGAUCAGUAGCCGGACUGAGAGGUUGACCGGCCACAUUGGGACUGAGAUACGGCCCAGACUCC